GCCUGCCCCGUGACUAAAUGUUUAACGGCCGCGGUAUUUUGACCGUGCAAAGGUAGCGCAAUCACUUGUCUUUUAAAUAAAGACCUGUAUGAAUGGCAUAACGAGGGCUUAACUGUCUCCUUCCCCAAGUCAAUGAAAUUGAUUUUUCCGUGCAGAAGCGGAAAUAAUAACAUAAGACGAGAAGACCCUAUGGAGCUUCAGACAUAUAGAGGAUUUUACACAAUAUCUUGUAAAAAUAAAUUAGUAAAUUUCCACUAACUGUCUUCGGUUGGGGCGACCGCGGGAUAAAAAGAAACUCCCGCGAGGAUGGGGUAUAACCCUAAAACCUAGAACCACUUUUCCAAGUAACAAAAUUUGACCUAAAGAUCCGGUAAUCCGAUCAACGAACCAAGUUACCCUAGGGAUAACAGCGCAAUCCUCUUAAAGAGCCCUUAUCGACAAGAGGGUUUACGACCUCGAUGUUGGAUCAGGACAUCCUAAUUGUGUAGCCGCUAUUAAGGGUUCGUUUGUUCAACGAUUAAAGUCCU
rnacentral:rRNA from 1 species